rnacentral:sRNA from 1 species
GAGGAGUAUAAAAUCCAGUCCUUUGAUGCAGAGACCCAGCAGCUGCUGAAGACAGCACUCAAAGAUCCGGGUGCUGUGGACUUGGAGAAAGUGGCCAAUGUGAUUGUGGACCAUUCUCUGCAGGACUGUGUGUUCAGCAAGGAAGCAGGACGCAUGUGCUACGCCAUCAUUCAGGUUGGGGGUUGGGAGAGGAAAGGAAGCUGCUUUGAGGAAGGUGCUUCAGGAGUGGGCAGAAGGCCUGGCCUGCAGGACAGAGAUGCACAGGGUCUAGCUCAAAGACAGAGAGAGGCAUAGGAUGGGUGGGGUUGCAGGGGCACCG